CACUGGCUGCCACACGCUAACUGCCUUGGCACACGGGAGGAAACUCGAGACAAGUCACCUCUGAUAUUUAUAAACGUCGGCGCGAGCCCAAAACCCGUUAACACCAACACCGUCCGUGUGCGCAUCCCGACUCCCAGAGGUGCUGCCCGGGGGUAGUCAGGCCAUCUUCUCAAUGCACUCUGUUUUUUCCUCUACAUUUUAGGAGAAGGCCUACAGCACAUGGUUUCCAAAUACACCCGGAAUGGCAAAGCUUGGCCUCCAGCUGUACAGCUCUGGACAAGGAGGGCAAGUACUUUGGGAUUUAUGGACUGGUGCUUGGCCAGCACAGCUCCAAGAUCAGAUGACGGCCGGAGCCAUUCCCACCUGGUGACACAGCACUUUGCAUCAAUCCUCAAACCCCCGGCGUGAAGCCGGAGGGGCUCUCUGUGCCAGCCCCGAGCACAGACUCACAGCCAGUGGCAUUUAUCAGGGCUUUCAGCACUGAAAGACAAGCCUGUGCUCAGUUAAACUGCUCCCGAUAUAGCGCGGGAGGAGCUGGUGCUCUGCCCUGCUCCAGCCUGACUUUGCGGGGUGAAAGGCUCCACCUGGGACUGCCCGGCCAUUAAUUUCCCCAAACCCCACAGCAAACCUUUCCUGGGCACAGCAGCCUUUGCAAGAGGCAUAAAGAGCUCCUUGUGCUCCCCAUGGCAGUGCUGCUGAAAGGCUGGGAAGUGCGAGAGCAGAAAAAUGGCAGAAGCCAACUGCUGGGAGCUCUUUGGACAGGGAUGGCGUUUGCUCACAAAGGGAGCAAAUGACCUCAUGUUUGCUGCACCAUCGUUUCCCACAGCAAUGCUGAGCAAUGGUGCAACAGUGCUGCGCCAAAUGGUGCCUAAAUCUGUGCUUUGCUGUAAGAGGAACUGGGGCUGCCUGGGCAAGGCAGAGGUAGAACUGCAGAGGGUCCAGCUCUCUGUUGGGCAAAGGGUGACAAAGGCAGCCCAAAUGUUAACCCUGUGCCUAAGUGAAGGAUGGAAGGGGACUGCCACGUACCGGUGUGUGUCUGCCGGUGCGUCUCCAGGGCAUCUUCCUUCGAGAACUGGGCGCCACACUGAUCGCAGACCAGGGCUUUGGCACCCGCU